CUGGGUGGCUCAGUCGGUUGAGCAUCCAACUCUUCGUUUCGGCUCAAGUCGUGCUCCCAGGGUCGCAGGAUCGAGCCCUGCCUCGGAUUCUGCACUGAGCAUGGAGCCUACUUGAUUCUCUCCCUCUGCCCCUCUCCCCUGCGCUCGCUCUCUGUCUCUCUCUCUCUCUCUCUCUCUCUCAAAACAAAAUGUGAGGCCCCUGGGUGGCUCAGUUGGUUUAGCAUCCGACUUCUGCUUGGGUCAUGAUCUCCAAGUUCAUGCGUUCAAGCCCCCCCGUUGGGCUCUGUGCUGACAGCUCAGAGCCUGGACCCUGCUUGGGAUUCUGCAUCUCUCUCUCUGCCCCUCCUCUGCUCGCACGUGCAUGUACACUCUCUCUCUCUCAAAAAUAAACGUUAAAAACAAGCAUUUACCAAAAUAUAUAUAUAUAUAUGUAUAUAUAUAUAUGUAUAUGUAUACAUAUAUAUAUAAUUUAUUAUAUAAUAUAUAUAUAUAAAGAAAAUGGGAAGCUGAGGGCCAGCCUGGCUGCCUGGUAGACAAGGGGAAGUAGAUUUUUCUUGAACCUCGCAGGCUGCCUUCUGGGUACAGCCUUGUCAGUAGGUUUCCUGCACCUCCGUAUCACUGAAUUGUUUCUAGGAAGUGCAAUGGUACACAGUAAGUGUUGUUUUCAUCAGGAAGGAUGCGUUCUAGGCAGAGGGAACAGUAAGCAGUAAGUUCUAGCAGCAUCUGAGCCCAUCAUGGGCCCUAGAAAGAGCCCAUUCAGGUCACCCUUGGAGGUUCUCGGGCAAGGAUGCCUGCCUGUUGGGCUGUAGGGAGAGGGACCAGUUCAUUCGGUUCACAAAGAUUCCCAGAACCUCAGAGGCCCUGCUUUCCUGCCAAGGGCUCGGCUUUACAUGUUCCAGUAAACGUUCCUGUAAGUCUUCCUGAGCGGUCUUCGUUUGCAAGAUCGGUAGGGUCUUUUACGGUAUGAAAUGGGCACAGAGCCUCCUGUUUGUACCAUCGGCCCCCAAAGAGCAGAAGACUUGAACUCAACCGGGGUUUUCCCACCUCGGCCCUAGCGACCUCAGGGCUAGUCAUUCUGUGUGGUGCCGGCCGCCCUGGAUAUUGCGGGACAUCCAGCAGCUUUCCGGUCCCCACCCCCUGAUUGCCAGGAGGACUCCCCCCUCCCCCCCCCCUCCAUCACAACAAACGUGGAGCACACACCAGGCAGCCCCCAGCCCUGCGGCUUCAGCCAAGAACCGGCCAGGCGUCCACACUUGAUCGGCUGAGUAGCUGUUGUCACCUUGGUGGCCUUUCCUGCUGACGCAGCUGGCCUCGGCCUGCUCACCUGCGCCCGGGCGGGGGUGGGGGGGGUGGGGGGUGGGGGGAGGUGUUGCCAGGAGCACUGUCUGCCCGGGUGGGCCCCCGAGAGCAUGCUAGAAUAGACCCAGCCCAGCCGAGAGCCGGGGGGCAGGCAAUGAGGCUUGCAGCCUCGCGGUUAAUCAAACAAACCUGCAGACCAUCAAACCUUGGCCUGCCUGGGAGAGAAAGCAGGUGCAGCGGGGCAGGAUGUUGUUACCGACCGGGCCUAGCGGUGCCCCUGGCCCAGGCCCUAAAGCCCUCCGUGGGCCUCCUCUCCCUCUCUGAGCAAUCGCUCUUUGUUCUGGGAGGGGGCCAAGGAGGUGUUGGCCUGCUUGGGGCUCAGUUCUUCCCUGAAGAAGGUCCCUUCAGGGAGGCCGCACGAACCCAGGCUCGGAGCGGCUGUGUACGUCUGUCUCCCCAGGCAGCCCCAGGGACUGGCCGAAGGAGUGAGCAAGUGGAACCGCCUCCUGCGAAAGUCCCGCCCAUGUCCAGAUGGAGGAGCCCAGACAAGGAGGGGAAAAAGAGCAUUCCAGGAGGAGCCAAGCGGUUCAUUUAAGAAAUUUAAUCGAUCACAGUAAGACAUUCAGGCUAUAAAAACGUUCUAUACAGUGGUUGUAAAAAGCGGUACCCAUCCCCCAAAACAACCCAACACGGACCCAUUUCUCCUGAAGGGCUUCGCGCGAAGCCCGCACGAAU